CGCGAUAAAAUGAACGCGUUUACACGUCGGAGCAACAUGAAGGUUCAUGUGGAGUUGUGUUUCUGACCACGUGGUGAAUCUCCUUUGUUCCCCAAGGAAGCAUUUGACGAAAACAACACUUUUUUCACAAAUUCAACAUAACAGGCUUGACGUUUAAGGAAAAACUGAGUUUCCACUGAGAAUAAAUGAAGUUUCCUUCAGGUAACAGGUCCCUGCAUAUACAGCACAGGCAGCAGGCCCCACCCACGGUCUCCCCUGGUAUUACCAAUGACUCUCACAAGAGGAGAGACCUGAGGAGGAGGAGAGGAGGUAUGGUCAGUAACCAUAGCAACUUAGAGGGGUUACAUGAGAACGGACAUUGACUGCAGUGAAGAUGAGUAUUUCUAUCACAAACGCAGCCCAGCAGCUAUUCUGACCUUUGAAGUUUCUCUCUGCAGGGAAAAUAGAUGGAAGACGUCAGCCAGCUGGUCACAUUUCACUUCG